rnacentral:rRNA from 1 species
UACGUAGGGGGCAAGCGUUGUCCGGAAUUAUUGGGCGUAAAGAGCUCGUAGGCGGCCGGUUGCGUCUGCUGUGAAAUCCCGGGGCUUAACCCCGGGCGUGCAGUGGAUACGGGCCGGCUGGAGGCAGGCAGGGGAGAAUGGAAUUCCCGGUGUAGCGGUGAAAUGCGCAGAUAUCAGGAGGAACACCGAUGGCGAAGGCAGGUCUCUGGGCCAUAACUGACGCUGAGAAGCGAAAGCAUGGGGAGCGAACAGG